CCUACGGGAGGCAGCAGUAAGGAAUAUUGGUCAAUGGAGGCAACUCUGAACCAGCCAUGCCGCGUGCAGGAAGACGGCCCUAUGGGUUGUAAACUGCUUUUGAACUAGAGAAAACCUUGGUACGUGUACCGAGUUGAUAGUAUAGUUAGAAUAAGCAUCGGCUAACUUCGUGCCAGCAGCCGCGGUAAGACGAAGGAUGCAAGCGUUAUCCGGAUUCAUUGGGUUUAAAGGGUGCGUAGGCGGACUGAUAAGUCAGUGGUGAAAUCUCUCAGCUUAACUGAGAAACUGCCAUUGAUACUGUUAGUCUAGAGUACAGAUGAUGUGGGCGGAAUAUGACAUGUAGUGGUGAAAUACUUAGAUAUGUCAUAGAACACCGAUUGCGAAGGCAGCUCACAAAACUGUAACUGACGCUGAGGCACGAAAGUGCGGGGAUCAAACAGGAUUAGAUACCCUGGUAGUCCGCACCGUAAACGAUGAUUACUCGUUGUUGGCGAUAUGACAGUCAGCGACCAAGCGAAAGCGAUAAGUAAUCCACCUGGGGAGUACGCCGGCAACGGUGAAACUCAAANAGAGUUAGAGNGNGAGAGNGCGAGACGACACGAGGGAGGAGG
rnacentral:rRNA from 1 species